UACGAAGGGGGCUAGCGUUGCUCGGAAUUACUGGGCGUAAAGCGCACGUAGGCGGCUUUCUAAGUCGGGGGUGAAAUCCUGGAGCUCAACUCCAGAACUGCCUUCGAUACUGGAAAGCUCGAGUUCGGGAGAGGUGAGUGGAACUGCGAGUGUAGAGGUGAAAUUCGUAGAUAUUCGUAAGAACACCAGUGGCGAAGGCGGCUCACUGGCCCGAUACUGACGCUGAGGUGCGAAAGCGUGGGGAGCAAACAGG
rnacentral:rRNA from 1 species